AGUUUCCCCGUGUUGAGUCAAAUUAAGCCGCAGGKCCCACGCCUGGUGGUGCCCUUCCGUCAAUUUCUUUAAGUUUCAGCCUUGCGACCAUACUCCCCCCAGAACCCAAAAACUUUGAUUUCUCGUAAGGUGCCGAACGGGUCAAAAUACUAACACCGUCCGAUCCCUAGUCGGCAUAGUUUAUGGUUAAGACUACGACGGUAUCUGAUCGUCUUCGAUCCCCUAACUUUCGUUCACUGAUUAAUGAAAACAUCCUUGGCAAAUGCUUUCGCAGUAGUUAGUCUUCAAUCAAUCCAAGAAUUUCACCUCUGACGAUUGAAUACUGAUGCCCCCGACUAUCCCUAUUAAUCAUUACGGCGGUCCUAGAAACCAACAAAAUAGAACCACACGUCCUAUUCUAUUAUUCCAUGCUAAUGUAUUCGAGCAAAGGCCUGCUUUGAACACUCUAAUUUUUUCAAAGUAAAAGUCCUGGUUCCCCAACACGCCCAGUGAAGGGCAUGAGGUUCCCCAGAAGGAAAGGCCCGGCCGGACCAGUACACGCGGUGAGGCGGACCGGCCAGCCAGGCCCAAGGUUCAACUACGAGCUUUUUAACUGCAACAACUUUAAUAUACGCUAUUGGAGCUGGAAUUACCGCGGCGGCUGGCAC
rnacentral:rRNA from 1 species